UGGGGAAUAUUGCACAAUGGGCGAAAGCCUGAUGCAGCGACGCCGCGUGAGGGAUGACGGCCUUCGGGUUGUAAACCUCUUUCAGCAGGGAAGAAGCGAAAGUGACGGUACCUGCAGAAGAAGCGCCGGCUAACUACGUGCCAGCAGCCGCGGUAAUACGUAGGGCGCAAGCGUUGUCCGGAAUUAUUGGGCGUAAAGAGCUCGUAGGCGGUUAGUCGCGUCUGCUGUGAAAAACUCGAGGCUCAACCUCGGGCUUGCAGUGGGUACGGGCUGACUAGAGUGCGGUAGGGGUGACUGGAAUUCCUGGUGUAGCGGUGGAAUGCGCAGAUAUCAGGAGGAACACCGAUGGCGAAGGCAGGUCACUGGGCCGCAACUGACGCUGAGGAGCGAAAAGCAUGGGGAGCGAAACAGGAUUAGAUACCCUGGUAGUCCAUGCCGUAAAACGUUGGGCACUAGGUGUGGGUCCAUUCCACGGAUUCCGUGCCGCAGCAAACGCAUUAAGUGCCCCGCCUGGGGAGUACGGCCGCAAAGGCUAAAAACUU
rnacentral:rRNA from 1 species